rnacentral:rRNA from 1 species
UACGUAGGUGGCAAGCGUUGUCCGGAUUUACUGGGCGUAGAGAGCGCGCAGGCGGUCGUUCAAGUCGCGUGUGAAAGCCCCCGGCUCAACUGGGGAGGGUCACGCGAUACUGAUCGACUCGAAGGCAGGAGAGGGUAGUGGAAUUCCCGGUGUAGUGGUGAAAUGCGUAGAUAUCGGGAGGAACACCAGUGGCGAAGGCGACUACCUGGCCUGUUUCUUGACGCUGAGGCGCGAAAGCUAGGGGAGCAAACGGG